rnacentral:rRNA from 1 species
UACGUAGGGUGCGAGCGUUGUCCGGAAUUAUUGGGCGUAAAGGGCUCGUAGGCGGUUUGUCGCGUCGGGAGUGAAAACAUCGGGCUUAACUCGAUGCUUGCUUUCGAUACGGGCAGACUUGAGGUAUGCAGGGGAGAAUGGAAUUCCUGGUGUAGCGGUGAAAUGCGCAGAUAUCAGGAGGAACACCGGUGGCGAAGGCGCUGCUCUGGGCCGGUACUGACGCUGAGGAGCGAAAGCGUGGGUAGCAAACAGG